UUUUUUUUUUUUUAGUUUUUAUUGAUAGUGUGGCCUUUGUGUUGGAGUCCUGGAGAUGUCUGGCAACAAAUGUGAUUUUCCUCUUUUUUUUUGGGAUUUUCUAAUGUGCUUUUUUACUUUAAUAUUUCGUGUUAUGCCAUAUACUAUUAGAAUUAGUUUGCAGGCAUUUUUAUUUAUGCUUGGCAAUGAGGCAUCUCAUUAGCAUUAUAUUCAACUGUUUCAUUCUCUUCUCUGAGACGACAUUAUUAUGUAUGUUUUUGUCAUCUUAUGUUUCAG
rnacentral:misc_RNA from 1 species